rnacentral:rRNA from 1 species
GACGAACGCUGGCGGCGUGCUUAACACAUGCAAGUCGAACGGAAAGGCCCUGCUUUUGUGGGGUGCUCGAGUGGCGAACGGGUGAGUAACACGUGAGUAACCUGCCCUUGACUUUGGGAUAACUUCAGGAAACUGGGGCUAAUAACGGAUAGGAGCUCCUGCUGCAUGGUGGGGGUUGGAAAGUUUCGGCGGUUGGGGAUGGACUCGCGGCUUAUCAGCUUGUUGAUGGGGUAGUGGAUUACCAAGGCUUUGACGGGUAGCCCGCCUGAGAGGGUGACCGGCCACAUUGGGACUGAGAUACGGCCCAAACUCCUACGUAAGGCAGCAGUGGGGAAUAUUGCACAAUGGGCGGAAGCCUGAUGCAGCAACGCCGCGUGCGGGAUGACGGCCUUCGGGUUGUAAACCGCUUUCGCCUGUGACGAAGCGUGAGUGACGGUAAUGGGUAAAGAAGCACCGGCUAACUACGUG